GACGAACGCUGGCGGCGUGCCUAAUACAUGCAAGUAGAACGCUGAAGGAGGAGCUUGCUUCUCUGGAUGAGUUGCGAACGGGUGAGUAACGCGUAGGUAACCUGCCUGGUAGCGGGGGAUAACUAUUGGAAACGAUAGCUAAUACCGCAUAAGAGUAGAUGUUGCAUGACAUUUGCUUAAAAGGUGCAAUUGCAUCACUACCAGAUGGACCUGCGUUGUAUUAGCUAGUUGGUGGGGUAACGGCUCACCUAGGCGACGAUACAUAGCCGACCUGAGAGGGUGAUCGGCCACACUGGGACGGAGACACGGCCCAGACUCCUACGGGAGGCAGCAGUAGGGAAUCUUCGGCAAUGGACGGAAGUCUGACCGAGCAACGCCGCGUGAGUGAAGAAGGUUUUCGGAUCGUAAAGCUCUGUUGUAAGAGAAGAACGAGUGUGAGAGUGGAAAGUUCACACUGUGACGGUAUCUUACCAGAAAGGGACGGCUAACUACGUG
rnacentral:rRNA from 1 species